AGCAGGUAUACAUAAUGAUUGCUCAAACAAAUUGUGCAUACUGGAUCCACUGAAUAUUUCAUAAAAAUGCCAGAGCUCAUUAACUAAAGAUCGACUAUAUACUCUUAUUUAUAUACCAUUACCUCUGCUGAUUUUCGUUUCAGUACUGGUUUGGCUUUCUGCAACAUGUAGAUGAGUGUCCUGGGAAGGGGUUGUAACAUUGUAUCUGCACCAGUGUUUAAAUACCUGUUCAGUUGUCUAAUCUGACACAUCUGAUGAAGCCCUGAGUUCAGCCCGGAAAGGGGGAGGGGCGAAAUGCGUAAUGCUUUGAACAAGACACAGUGUGGAGGAAGCCAGCAUGGUGGAAGCGCUGUGAAUUUGGCGAUAUCGAUUCCAAGUGUUUGGGCAAGUGAAGAGCUGCAUUGGCCACAUACAUCGCAGUGAGACACACGGCAGAUGAGAUCCUGUCAGUGUACUUAAUGUCGAACAGUUGGGAAGAAAGUUUCUCCACAAAGGAAUAGUGGAUGAGAGAGAUGAAAAACAGAAAAUAAAUUAAAGCAGGGGAAGCUCCCAGAUCCAAUUAAGAGACCCAAUUUACACACCAACAAAUCCCCAAGUAUUGGAAUAAACGCUUUACACUUCACUUUCACUCCACUAACGAUAAAAAAAAGGAGGGGUUUCUAUUCUGAUACACAACUCACUGAAUUUCAUGGUAGACAAAGAAGACUCAUAAUACCAUAGGUCCAAAAACGACCCAUACCUCCAAGCAAAAGGGGAUGAUAAAAGAGGACUGCAAUUUCUCUAUGUACAAUCUAAACAAUCAGAUAUGUUGAUAAUAUUUGAUAUAACGUUUGUACUACACACUGUAACUGAACCUAUUAUUUUGUCCUUAAUAAAAAUGUAAAUAUAAAAAAAAUAUCUAGGAGAAGGAAUAAAGGUAAAUGGAGAAAAGGUAGCUUCUCUUGGUAGGGCCGAAUGUCGGCUAUCAAGAUGAACAUACUGCCUAGGUUACUGUACCUUUUUAAGAGCACUUCAAAUUAAAAUACCUCAGAAAGAACUAAGAGACCUGCAAGCUGAACUGUUAGGUUCCUUCAAGGCACUAAAACAGCGCAAAUAGCCUCAUAUCUUAAAACAACAUAAACAGGUAGGGGGAGUAGAAGUACCCAACUUACUGGACUACUAUCAGGCUGCUAGGUUAUCACAAAUCACAUUACUAGGCAAAAAUUACCAAGGAAUUGCUUGGACUAAAAUUGAAGCUGAUAUAGCGGGACUACAUAAACCUGGGGAUAUCAUAUGGGAUCCAGCAACCAAAACAAACUAUUAUAUAAACUACAAAUUAUGGAGGAAUCCAAAUAUUUAUGGAAAUGUCUUACUAACUCACUAAAAUUGAUUCCCAAAGCUACCUCGAUGGCUCCAGUGGGAACCCUGCCCCCCCCCCCCCCUGACUCUCAAAGACACAUUAAUAAAUGGGAAAAUAAAGGAUUAUACAGAGUGGCAGACUUUUUAGACAGGGGAAAAAUGAUGACAUUCAAUCAGUUAAUGGACAAAAUACAACCUGAUAAUCUACACUGGUACCUUUACCUUCAGAUUUCUAAUGCCAUAACAAGAUACAUUCAAAAUCACACUACUCUACCACACACUACCUUGGAAAAUGAUGUACUACCCCUGUUAGAAAUAAAAAAAAUUAUUACACAGCUCUACCUAGCUUUACAAGAAGCUAAACACAAUACAACAACGACACAAAAAUGGGAACAAGACCUUGGCGAAACAUUUAGCAGAGACAAGUGGGCAAGAUUUUUCUCUAGAUCCAGUAAAGGCCUGAUUAGCGCAGACCUCAAAGAAAAUUCCAUUAAAACUUCCUUUAGGUGGUAUCUUACACCAUUAAAAACAUCACACUACUCUACACAACAUAAAAGACUGUGCUAUAGAGGGUGUGCCAACAUUCUAGAUUAUAUUCAUAUGUGGUGGGAAUGCCCAAAAAUAAAACCGGAACAAAGGAUCAAAAAUGUUAAGCAUAAUCCUAGACCAAUCAAUCUCUUUAUCUGCCUCCCAAGCCGUGUUACACAUACCCGAGAAGUCACUAAAUUCUACCACUAAUACUUUCAUUAGAAUCAUCUGCACUGCAGCCAGACUAUGUAUCGCUAGAUACUGAAAACAAGCUCCCCGUCAUGGCACAGAGGUAUUAAAGGGACAGUUCACCCAAAAAGGUUCUCCCAUUUAAAUUGUUCCCAAUGAUCCAUUUUACCUGCUAGAGUGUAUUAAAUUGUUAACAAGUAGCUCCUUUACCCCUAUGUUGGCCUUUGAAAUAUCUGAUUUAGCUUGUGGUUUCCAAGCCUAUACUGAAAGUUUGUAUACUGGAGUCUCAGAUAUUGAAUAGUGUAAGUAAACACAGCCAGCAGAAGAAAUUAAACUCACAGUGAGGGUGCAGGGUAGUUAAGUAAUACAAUUAUAAUUUUCCAUUGUUCUCUCUAAGUUUUGAGCUUUGGUUUUCCAGACAAAUAUAAGAUAAGGAAGCAAGUGUGUGUACACAAACUGAUAACAUAAUGAGAUAUAUUACCUGAAACUCAACCCAUUGUAAUAGGCUGUGGUUUAAAAGCACAAAACCAGUUACUUCAUAUACACAUUUUAUACGCUGCAGCUGGUAGAACAAGUUAUUAAAAAUACAUUAAUAUAAAAACAA